rnacentral:rRNA from 1 species
AUUGAACGCUGGCGGCAUGCCUUACACAUGCAAGUCGAACAGCAGCACGGGAGCAAUCCUGGUGGCGAGUGGCGAACGGGUGAGUAAUAUAUCGGAACGUGCCCAGUCGUGGGGGAUAACGUAGCGAAAGCUACGCUAAUACCGCAUACGAUCUAUGGAUGAAAGCGGGGGAUCGCAAGACCUCGCGCGAUUGGAGCGGCCGAUAUCAGAUUAGGUAGUUGGUGAGGUAAAGGCUCACCAAGCCGACGAUCUGUAGCUGGUCUGAGAGGACGACCAGCCACACUGGGACUGAGACACGGCCCAGACUCCUACGGGAGGCAGCAGUGGGGGAAUUUUUGGGACAAUGGGCGCAAGCCUGAUCCAGCAAUGCCGCGUGCAGGAUGAAGGCCUCGGUU